AGUGAACGCUGGCGGUAGGCCUAACACAUGCAAGUCGAACGGCAGCACAGUAAGAGCUUGCUCUUACGGGUGGCGAGUGGCGGACGGGUGAGGAAUACAACGGCAUCUACUUUUUCGUGGGGGAUAACGUAGGGAAACUUACGCUAAUACCGCAUACCACCUACGGGUGAAAGCAGGGGAUCCUCGGACCGUGCGCGAUUGAAUGAGCCGAUGUCGGAUUAGCUAGUUGGCGGGGUAAAGGCCCACCAAGGCGACGAUGCGUAGCUGGUCUGAGAGGAUGAUCGGCCACACUGGAACUGAGACACGGUCCAGACUCCUACGGGAGGCAGCAGUGGGGAAUAUUCGGCAAUGGAGGAAAGCCUGAUCCAGCAAUACCGCGUGAGUGAAGAAGGCCUUCGGGUCGUAAAGCCCUGUUGUUGGGAAAGAACAGCAGCAGGUUAAUACGACGCUGUUCUGACGGUACCUAAAGAAUAAGCACCGGCUAACUACGUG
rnacentral:rRNA from 1 species